rnacentral:rRNA from 1 species
GAUGAACGCUGGCGGCGUGCUUAACACAUGCAAGUCGAACGAAGCACUUUAUUUGAUUUCCUUCGGGACUGAUUAUUUUGUGGCUGAGUGGCGGACGGGUGAGUAACGCGUGGGUAACCUGCCUUGUACAGGGGGAUAACAGUUGGAAACGGCUGCUAAUACCGCAUAAGCGCACAGCAUCGCAUGAUGCAGUGUGAAAAACUCCGGUGGUAUAAGAUGGACCCGCGUUGGAUUAGCUAGUUGGUGAGGUAACGGCCCACCAAGGCGACGAUCCAUAGCCGACCUGAUAGGGUGACCGGCCACAUUGGGACUGAGACACGGCCCAAACUCCUACGGGAGGCAGCAGUGGGGAAUAUUGCACAAUGGGCGAAAGCCUGAUGCAGCGACGCCGCGUGAGCGAAGAAGUAUUUCGGUAUGUAAAGCUCUAUCAGCAGGGAAGAUAAUGACGUUACCUGACUAAGAAGCACCGGCUAAAUACGUG